CCUACGGGCGGCUGCAGUGGGGAAUAUUGCACAAUGGGCGCAAGCCUGAUGCAGCCAUGCCGCGUGUGUGAAGAAGGCCUUCGGGUUGUAAAGCACUUUCAGCGGGGAGGAAGGCGGUGAGGUUAAUAACCUCAUCGAUUGACGUUACCCGCAGAAGAAGCACCGGCUAACUCCGUGCCAGCAGCCGCGGUAAUACGGAGGGUGCAAGCGUUAAUCGGAAUUACUGGGCGUAAAGCGCACGCAGGCGGUCUGUCAAGUCGGAUGUGAAAUCCCCGGGCUCAACCUGGGAACUGCAUUCGAAACUGGCAGGCUAGAGUCUUGUAGAGGGGGGUAGAAUUCCAGGUGUAGCGGUGAAAUGCGUAGAGAUCUGGAGGAAUACCGGUGGCGAAGGCGGCCCCCUGGACAAAGACUGACGCUCAGGUGCGAAAGCGUGAGGAGCAAACAGGAUUAGAUACCCUGGUAGUC
rnacentral:rRNA from 1 species